GGGUUGUGAGGUUAAGCGACUAAGCGUACACGGUGGAUGCCCUGGCAGUCAGAGGCGAUGAAGGACGUGCUAAUCUGCGAUAAGCGUCGGUAAGGUGAUAUGAACCGUUAUAACCGGCGAUUUCCGAAUGGGGAAACCCAGUGUGAUUCGUCACACUAUCAUUAACUGAAUCCAUAGGUUAAUGAGGCGAACCGGGGGAACUGAAACAUCUAAGUACCCCGAGGAAAAGAAAUCAACCGAGAUUCCCCCAGUAGCGGCGAGCGAACGGGGAGGAGCCCAGAGCCUGAAUCAGUGUGUGUGUUAGUGGAAGCGUCUGGAAAGGCGCGCGAUACAGGGUGACAGCCCCGUACACAAAAAUGCACAUGCUGUGAGCUCGAUGAGUAGGGCGGGACACGUGGUAUCCUGUCUGAAUAUGGGGGGACCAUCCUCCAAGGCUAAAUACUCCUGACUGACCGAUAGUGAA
rnacentral:rRNA from 1 species